rnacentral:rRNA from 1 species
UAGGGAAUCUUCCACAAUGGGCGAAAGCCUGAUGGAGCAACGCCGCGUGUGUGAUGAAGGGUUUCGGCUCGUAAAACACUGUUGUAAGAGAAGAAUGACAUUGAGAGUAACUGUUCAAUGUGUGACAAUAUCUUACCAGAAAGGAACGGCUAAAUACGUGCUAG